rnacentral:rRNA from 1 species
GACGUAGGGCGCGAGCGUUGUCCGGAUUUAUUGGGCGUAAAGAGCUCGUAGGCGGCUUGUCGCGUCGACUGUGAAAACCCGCGGCUCAACUGCAGGCUUGCGGGCGAUACGGGCAGGCUAGAGUUCGGUAGGGGAGACUGGAAUUCCUGGUGUAGCGGUGAAAUGCGCAGAUAUCAGGAGGAACACCGGUGGCGAAGGCGGGUCUCUGGGCCGAUACUGACGCUGAGGAGCGAAAGCGUGGGGAGCGAACAGG